UCUCCGUUGGUGAACCAGCGGAGGGAUCAUUACCGAGUUUACAACUCCCAAACCUCUGUGAACAUACCAUUUGUUGCCUCGGCGGUGCCUGCUUCGGCAGCCCGCCAGAGGACCCAAACCCUUGAUUUUAUACAGUAUCUUCUGAGUAAAUGAUUAAAUAAAUCAAAACUUUCAACAACGGAUCUCUUGGUUCUG
rnacentral:misc_RNA from 1 species